CCUAUGGGAGGCAGCAGGCGCGAAACCUUUACAAUGCGGGCAACCGUGAUAAGGGAACCUCGAGUGCCUGUAAACGCAGGCUGUUCAGGUGUUUAAAACGCACCUGGAGAAAGGGCCGGGCAAGACCGGUGCCAGCCGCCGCUUUUAUUGGGCUUAAAGCGUUCGUAGCUGGGUUGUUAAGUCUCUUGGGAAAUCUGGCGGCUUAACCGUCAGGCGUCUAAGGGAUACUGGCAAUCUUGGAACCGGGAGAGGUGAGGGGUACUUCGGGGGUAGGGGUGAAAUCCUGUAAUCCUCGAGGGACCACCUGUGGCGAAGGCGCCUCACCAGAACGGCUUCGACAGUGAGGGACGAAAGCUGGGGGAGCAAACCGGAUUAGAUACCCCCGUAGUCC
rnacentral:rRNA from 1 species